UUUAACGGCCGCGGUAUCCUGACCGUGCGAAGGUAGCAUAAUCACUUGUUCUUUAAAUGAGGACUAGAAUCAACGGCAUCACGAGGGUCUUACUGUCUCCUUUCCCUAAUCAGUGAAACUGAUCUCUCCGUGAAGAAGCGGGGAUGAACAUAUAAGACGAGAAGACCCCAUGGAGCUUUAAGCCCAACGAAUACUCUUUUUAACUGACUUCGUAUUUUUAAGAAUCUACUUGUUGGCUUUGGGUUGGGGUGACCGCGGAGAAAAACCUAACCUCCACAAUGAAAAGAAUAAAAUCCUAAUCUAAGAGUCCACACCUCUAAGAAUCAACAAAUUGGCAUUAAAUGACCCGAUAUUUCGAUCAAUGAACCAAGUUACCCUGGGGAUAACAGCGCCAUCCACUUCAAGAGCCCCUAUCGACGAGUGGGUUUACGACCUCGAUGUUGGAUCAGGGUGUCCCAGUGGUGCAGCCGCUACUAAAGGUUCGUUUGUUCAACGAUUAAAACCCU
rnacentral:rRNA from 1 species